GGGGGUGUAGCCCAACAGGCAGAGGCAGGACGCUUAAAACGUCCGCAGUGAGGGUUCGAAUCCCUCCACCCCCA
rnacentral:tRNA from 1 species